AAGUUAAUAGUUUAAAAACGCUAUGUCUUGAAAACAUAAAUUGAAAUUAAUUUUUUAUUAACUUU
rnacentral:tRNA from 1 species